rnacentral:rRNA from 1 species
UCGGGUUGUAAAGCACUUUUGUCCGGAAAGAAAACACGUGCCCUAAUACGGUGUGUGGAUGACGGUACCGGAAGAAUAAGCACCGGCUAACUACGUGCCAGCAGCCGCGGUAAUACGUAGGGUGCGAGCGUUAAUCGGAAUUACUGGGCGUAAAGCGUGCGCAGGCGGUUUGCUAAGACCGAUGUGAAAUCCCCGGGCUUAACCUGGGAACUGCAUUGGUGACUGGCGAGCUAGAGUGUGGCAGAGGGGGGGUAGAAUUCCACGUGUAGCAGUGAAAUGCGUAGAGAUGUGGAGGAAUACCGAUGGCGAAGGCAGCCCCUGGGCUAACACUGACGCUCAUGCACGAAAGCGUGGGGAGCAAACAGGAUUAGAUACCCUGGUAGUCCACGCCCUAAACGAUGUCAACUAGUUGUUGGGGAUUCAUUUCCUUAGUAACGUAGCUAACGCGUGAAGUUGACCGCCUGGGGAGUACGGUCGCAAGAUUAAAACUCAAAGGAAUUGACGGGGACCCGCACAAGCGGUGGAUGAUGUGGAUUAAUUCGAUGCAACGCGAAAAACCUUACCUACCCUUGACAUGGACGGAAUCUUGCUG